GACGAACGCUGGCGGCGUGCUUAACACAUGCAAGUCGAACGGAAAGGCCCUGCUCUUGCGGGGUGCUCGAGUGGCGAACGGGUGAGUAACACGUGAGUAACCUGUCCUUGACUUUGGGAUAACUUCAGGAAACUGGGGCUAUUACCGGAUAGGAGCUCCUGCUGCAUGGGGGGGGUUGGAAAGUUGCGGCGGUUGGGGAUGGACUCGCGGUUUAUCCGCUUGUUGGGGAGGUAGUGGCUUACCAAGGCUUUGAAGGGUAGCCGGCCUGGGAGGGUGACCGGCCACAGUGGGCCUCGGGUACGGCCAGGACUGCUACGGGAGCAAGGGGUGGGGAACAUUGCACAAUGGGCGGAAGCCUGGAGCAGCAACGCCGCGUCGGGGAUGACGGCUUUCGGGUUGGAAAACGCUUUCGCCUGUGACGAAGCGUGAGUGACGGUAAUGGGUAAAGAAGCACCGGCUACCUACGU
rnacentral:rRNA from 1 species